GGAUCCAGACUUUGAUUCUGGCUCAGGAUGAACGCUAGCUACAGGCUUAACACAUGCAAGUCGAGGGGCAGCGGGAUUGAAGCUUGCUUCAAUUGCCGGCGACCGGCGCACGGGUGAGUAACGCGUAUCCAACCUUCCGUACACUCAGGGAUAGCCUUUCGAAAGAAAGAUUAAUACCUGAUGGUAUCUUAAGCACACAUGUAAUUAAGAUUAAAGAUUUAUCGGUGUACGAUGGGGAUGCGUUCCAUUAGGUAGUAGGCGGGGUAACGGCCCACCUAGCCAACGAUGGAUAGGGGUUCUGAGAGGAAGGUCCCCCACAUUGGAACUGAGACACGGUCCAAACUCCUACGGGAGGCAGCAGUGAGGAAUAUUGGUCAAUGGACGAGAGUCUGAACCAGCCAAGUAGCGUGAAGGAUGAAGGUCCUACGGAUUGUAAACUUCUUUUAUAAGGGAAUAAACCCUCCCACGUGUGGGAGCUUGUAUGUACCUUAUGAAUAAGCAUCGGCUAACUCCGUGCCAGCAGCCGCGGUAAUACGGAGGAUGCGAGCGUUAUCCGGAUUUAUUGGGUUUAAAGGGAGCGCAGACGGGUCGUUAAGUCAGCUGUGAAAGUUUGGGGCUCAACCUUAAAAUUGCAGUUGAUACUGGCGUCCUUGAGUGCGGUUGAGGUGUGCGGAAUUCGUGGUGUAGCGGUGAAAUGCUUAGAUAUCACGAAGAACUCCGAUUGCGAAGGCAGCACACUAAUCCGUAACUGACGUUCAUGCUCGAAAGUGUGGGUAUCAAACAGGAUUAGAUACCCUGGUAGUCCACACGGUAAACGAUGGAUACUCGCUGUUGGCGAUAUACUGUCAGCGGCUUAGCGAAAGCGUUAAGUAUCCCACCUGGGGAGUACGCCGGCAACGGUGCAACUCAAAGGAAUUGACGG
rnacentral:rRNA from 1 species